rnacentral:rRNA from 1 species
CCUACGGGUGGCAGCAGUGGGGAAUAUUGCACAAUGGGCGCAAGCCUGAUGCAGCCAUGCCGCGUGUGUGAAGAAGGCCUUCGGGUUGUAAAGCACUUUCAGCGGGGAGGAAGGCGUUAAGGUUAAUAACCUUGGCGAUUGACGUUACCCGCAGAAGAAGCACCGGCUAACUCCGUGCCAGCAGCCGCGGUAAUACGGAGGGUGCAAGCGUUAAUCGGAAUUGCUGGGCGUAAAGCGCACGCAGGCGGGCUGUCAAGUCGGAUGUGAAAUCCCCGGGCUCAACCUGGGAACUGCAUUCGAAACUGGCAGGCUAGAGUCUUGUAGAGGGGGGUAGAAUUCCAGGUGUAGCGGUGAAAUGCGUAGAGAUCUGGAGGAAUACCGGUGGCGAAGGCGGCCCCCUGGACAAAGACUGACGCUCAGGUGCGAAAGCGUGGGGAGCAAACAGGAUUAGAUACCCGUGUAGCC